AAAUUGAAGAGUUUGAUCAUGGCUCAGAUUGAACGCUGGCGGCAGGCCUAACACAUGCAAGUCGAACGGUAACAGGAAGCAGCUUGCUGCUUCGCUGACGAGUGGCGGACGGGUGAGUAAUGUCUGGGAAACUGCCUGAUGGAGGGGGAUAACUACUGGAAACGGUGGCUAAUACCGCAUAACGUCGCAAGACCAAAGAGGGGGACCUUCGGGCCUCUUGCCAUCAGAUGUGCCCAGAUGGGAUUAGCUAGUUGGUGAGGUAACGGCUCACCAAGGCGACGAUCCCUAGCUGGUCUGAGAGGAUGACCAGCCA
rnacentral:rRNA from 1 species